UACGUAGGUGGCAAGCGUUGUCCGGAUUUACUGGGCGUAAAGAGCGCGCAGGCGGUCGUACAAGUCGCGUGUGAAAGCCCCCGGCUCAACUGGGGAGGGUCACGCGAUACUGUUCGACUCGAAGGCAGGAGAGGGAAGCAGAAUUCCCGGUGUAGUGGUGAAAUGCGUAGAUAUCUGGAGGAAUACCGGUGGCGAAGGCGGCAUCCUGGACCGACAUUGACGCUGAACGGCGAAAGCUAGGGGAGCAAACGGG
rnacentral:rRNA from 1 species